rnacentral:rRNA from 1 species
UACGAAGGGGGCUAGCGUUGCUCGGAAUCACUGGGCGUAAAGCGCACGUAGGCGGAUUGCUAAGUCAGGGGUGAAAUCCUGGAGCUCAACUCCAGAACUGCCUUUGAUACUGGUGAUCUUGAGUACGAGAGAGGUGAGUGGAAUUCCCAGUGUAGAGGUGAAAUUCGUAGAUAUUGGGAAGAACACCGGUGGCGAAGGCGGCUCACUGGCUCGUAACUGACGCUCAUGCACGACAGCGUGGGGAUCAAACAGG